rnacentral:lncRNA from 1 species
CUAAGAGAACAUUAUUUAUCCAUGCAUAUUAAUGCUCAUUGAACAAAAAGUGCAUAGAACGAGCAAGCAAAAUUGGGUUUUAUACACACACACACACACACACACACAAACAUUUGGUAGUGGUUAAGAAAGUAGUCUUGUCUCCAUUCUAAUGGAAACUAAUUUUUUUUUAUCAUAGAGAAAAUAAUGUGAGACAGACUUCUUUAUGCUCUUCUCUCCCAUAGUUUUUGUCCAGUGGCUUACCAGUAUGGCCAAGCCAAACUUACAAAGGAAGUUGAUUACAUUCUUUGACUAUAACAACCAUUCCCCAAAGGAAGGAGAAUUUGCAGUUUGGAGGCAAGUGAUUUGUCAGACAAGUCAAACAGAUUCUGAUGGAGACAGACCAGGACCUUGA